rnacentral:rRNA from 1 species
AUUUACGGCCGCGGUACCCUAACCGUGCAAAGGUAGCACAAUCACUUGUUCUUUAAAUGAGGACUAGAAUCAACGGCAUCACGAGGAUCCCACUGUCUCCCCCCUCCAAUCAGUGAAACUGAUCUCCCCGUGAAGAAGCGGGGAUACAAAUAUAAGACGAGAAGACCCCAUGGAGCUUUAAACCCAACAGCACCCGUUUAUUUUCAUCCUCACAUAAGUUAGGUUAUGCCUGUUUGGUUUUAGGUUGGGGUGACCACGGAGUAUAAAACAACCUCCAUGAAAAAAGGACCAAAAAUCCUUAUUAGAGAAAGACAUUUCUAAAAUUAAUAAAUUAAUUUUUAAUGAUCCGAUAUUCGAUCAACGAACCAAGUUACCCUGGGGAUAACAGCGCAAUCCACUUCAAGAGCU